UACGUAGGGUCCGAGCGUUGUCCGGAAUUAUUGGGCGUAAAGGGCUCGUAGGCGGUUUGUCGCGUCGGCUGUGAAAACCUGGGGCUCAACCCCGGGCCUGCAGCCGAUACGGGCAAGCUAGAAUUCGGUAGGGGAGACUGGAAUUCCUGGUGUAGCGGUGAAAUGCGCAGAUAUGCGGAGGAACACCGAUGGCGAAGGCAAUCCCCUGGGCCUGCACUGACGCUCAUGCACGAAAGCGUGGGGAGCAAACAGG
rnacentral:rRNA from 1 species